AGUAUCAAAAUAGGUACAGGCAUAUUUGUUUCUCCUGAAGGGGCAUUAAAAUACAACUCACUCAAUGUGGGGUCUCCCUGAGUAUUUGGGCUGCUUGUGCCAUGGUGUCUGUGAUGGCUGCUGUUAGUCAUGCAGAGCUAGGGGCCACCUUCCCUAGAAGCGGUGCACAGUAUUAUUUCCUCAGAAGUUCUCUCAGACACUUUAUUGUUUUAUUCCAUCCCUGUAUCAACCUAUUUAACACUUCAGCAGGACCUGGUGCAUGUGGAUUGAUACUAGCAGGGUAGUAUCACAGCCUUUCUAUCCUGAACGUUUUGUUCCUUAGAUGCCAGAGAAAUGUUUAGCAUUGGAAUUCUGAAGGCUUGAGGAGUGAAAGAGGUGACAUGCUGACUCUCAGAACAGUUUUGAGAAUGAUGGUUCUCUGCUUUAUAUCUCCAACUGGAAUAAUGCUGUUGGUGAGAGAAAGAAAACAGCACUUAGUCAGGUUUGAGAAAGCUUUUCAUGCCACAAUUCCAGAUGCCCCACAGAUUGCAGAAGCCUUUCUUCAAGGAUUUUAUGUGUAUUCAGGGUGGGGA
rnacentral:lncRNA from 1 species